UGGCUCGUAGCUCAGGGGUAGAGCACUACCUUGACAUGGUAGGGGUCGGCGGUUCGAAACCGCCCGAGCCAACCA
rnacentral:tRNA from 1 species